rnacentral:rRNA from 1 species
AAACGUAGGGGGCAAGCGUUGCCCGGAUUCACUGGGCGUAAAGCGCGUGUAGGCGGUCCGUUAAGUCGGAUGUGAAAUCUCUGGGCUCAACCCAGAAAUCGCAUCCGAUACUGGCGGACUUGAGGACGGUAGAGGUCGGUGGAAUUCCCGGUGUACCGGUGAAAUGGACAGAUAUCGGGAGGAACACCAGUGGCGAAGGCGGCCGACUGGGCCGAUCCUGACGCUGAGACGCGAAAGCCAGGGGAGCGAACC